UACGGGGGGAGCAAGCGUUGUUCGGAUUUACUGGGCUUAAAGGGCGCGUAGGCGGGCGGCCGCGUCCGGGGUGAAAUCCCGCCGCUCAACGGCGGAACGGCCUCGGAUACGGGCGGCCUCGAGGGGGGUAGGGGCGUGCGGAACUCUGGGUGGAGCGGUGAAAUGCGUUGAUAUCCAGAGGAACUCCGGUGGCGAAGGCGGCACGCUGGACCCCUUCUGACGCUGAGGCGCGAAAGCCAGGGGAGCGAACGGG
rnacentral:rRNA from 1 species